CAUCCUUUCUCACCCAUUCACUAAGCCUCCGACCACCGCAUAGACCAGCGCCACUACCCUCCUCUCCUCUCUUCUUCUUCUUCUUCUUCUUCUUUCCCUUUUCUUCUUGCUUGUGACUGCGUCUGCGUCUGCGUCGAGUCUAGCCACCACCAACAGGUGCGAUCCUCCACAGAUCACCACCGCACGCCGCCUCCGCCCCCUGUUAAGCCAGUUGCAGCCGCACGCAGUUCCAGCGCAACACCAGAUCGCGCCGUUGCUGCUCCUCCGACCGGUCCAGCCAGUGUAGGUCGAACGGAUGUCCAUCACAGCUACGCCGCCAAUCGUUUCUCCGCCGGAUCGCUCGCCACCGUCGCCGAUCGCCACCACUCCACGUCACAGCAGCUCUGCCGCUGCACCAGUGCAUCUCCGGCCACCGCUUGACAGUCUUCGAUCCGACACGCAUGCUUAUAAAGUUUCGGACUGUGAAGACAAAGGCUAGAAGCGCACAAUAAGAAAGGCAGUCCUUUUAAGGACAACAAAAACAGUGAAUAG